UGCAGUCGAGGGGUAACGAUCGGGAUUUCGGUUCUGAGGCGACGACCGGCGAACGGGUGAGUAACGCGUAUGCAACCUGCCUUUUACAGAGGGAUAGCUUUCGGAAACCAAAAUUAAUACCUCAUAACACUGCGAGGUGGCAUCGCCAUGCAGUUAAAACUUUGGUGGUAAAAGAUGGGCAUGCGUAACAUUAGCUAGUUGGUAAGGUAACGGCUUACCAAGGCAACGAUGUUUAGGGGACCUGAGAGGGUAAUCCCCCACACUGGUACUGAGACACGGACCAGACUCCUACGGGAGGCAGCAGUGAGGAAUAUUGCACAAUGGGGGAAACCCUGAUGCAGCAACGCCGCGUGGAGGAUGACACAUUUCGGUGCGUAAACUCCUUUUAUAUGGGAAGAUAAUGACGGUACCAUAUGAAUAAGCACCGGCUAACUCCGUGCCAGCAGCCGCGGUAAUACGGAGGGUGCAAGCGUUACUCGGAAUCACUGGGCGUAAAGCGCGCGCAGGCGGCUUUGUAAGUUGGAAGUGAAAUCCUAUGGCUUAACCAUAGAACUGCUUCCAAAACUACUUAGCUAGAGUCUGGGAGGGGAAGAUGGAAUUAGUAGUGUAGGGGUAAAAUCCGUAGAGAUUACUAGGAAUACCAAAAGCGAAGGCGAUCUUCUGGAACAGUACUGACGCUGAGGCGCGAAAGCAUGGGGAGCAAACAGGAUUAGAUACCCUGGUAGUCCAUGCCCUAAACGAUGAAUGUUAGUCGUCGGGAUGCAAGUCAUUUCGGUGAUGCAGUUAACACAUUAAACAUUCCGCCUGGGGAGUACGGUCGCAAGAUUAAAACUCAAAGGAAUAGACGGGGGCCCGCACAAGCGGU
rnacentral:rRNA from 1 species